rnacentral:lncRNA from 1 species
UUGCAAUUUGAUUGAAGUCUCUGCUAUCACUAAAGCAAGUAUGCAUGUUCGUGAUUUAGGAUUAAUUCUUCUUCCAUGACAUGGGCCUCUCUCUCAUCUUGUUCACUUAUAUUUCCCACGGUGUUGUAGUUUCCUUGUUAUAACAAUUUAUAAUAUAGUGCAUGACAUCACUAAUUUGCAUCCGCAUGAUAGUCAUAAAAAUCCCUUUCCUGUUUGCCGUUGCUACUUAUGCUUUUAGAUAGUCGUUGAAACCUGUAAUUUUCUGUUCAAGCAUUCAUUCUGUGUGGUUACCCGAUCAAAUUUUUUUCCAAGCCAAGUAUGUUUGCAAAUAAUGUUGCAAGAUAUUUCUCAUAUAACACGACCUAGUGGAGUACCCAAACAAACACUAUUGAGCUCUUUUCAGUAAAAAAAAAGUACUAUAGUGAUGAUGUUAUGGUAAGUGUAGAAAUGACUAUUUUGCAGCGUAUAGACUUGUUUAUGCUUCACAAUGUCAAGAAUAGACAUGUUACAUGUUUAUUAUUAUACUUGGUACAUGGUUCACUUGUUUGUAUUAGGGAGUGGCUCUGCUAAUAUUGUUCUUGUCGAACUCAUGACCAGUUUUUGAGUGAUUAAAAUGUCCAGCAGCUUUGAGGGUUCAACACAUGAUUUUAUCAUAAGAUAUGCUCUUUUCUUAUUUGUACAUACGAUAAGCUAUUUGAAAAUGGCAAGUUUUAUAAAGGAUGGAUUUCUAUUAGGACAAUUAUGUAAAUAAUUGUAUUGCUUAAUUCCGCGGGUUGUUACGAAUCUCUAGAAUGCACUAGAAUUAUUUUCCUGUACAAGAUAAAUAAUAUUUGUAUAAUUUGUUCAUUAUUGCUAAGUUAGGAUUAUCCACAAAAUAGUUGGCUUGUCUGCCAUUUCCAACAUAGAAACAUACUUUAGGUUGCCUUUUGCGAUUAAUGUCAUAUCUUCUCUAUUUAUCCUUCCUUGUAGUGUGUGCAGCACACAGUUAGAUGGUGGUUGUUUAUGUAUAUUUAUUUGAACAGCUCAUGAUUAAUUUUUUAAGUAUGAAUGUAUGGCACAUACAUGGACUUGCGCUGAGGCUGGUCACAAUGAGGAGGAACUUAGGAGUAACAUCACACACUCCAAUACAACUUUGCUUAUGUGUCACAUAUUUAAUGAAGAGAGAGGUGCUUGUGGUAACUAGCUAAGUUACCGAAACAUCACACACUCCAAGAAACAAUGAGUCUAUAACCUAAUAAAUACAUUGUUGCAUGACACUACAUAGAUGUUCCUACCCACUGUGGAGAUAGUAACAUAGUCUAGGGAAGUGUGUAAGUUACUAGACUAUGUUCUUGCCCAUUGUGACCAGCCUAACUAAAUCAUAUUUGCUACGUCUGAACUCUCCCAGGACAACAAGCUCGACGAACAAGAAGCACUGCAUCUGGAGGCAACUGUUGUGUGCCGUCAAGAUAGCAACGUUCAUGCAGUUCUUAAUGGCAAUGCUUGUUGAGCGAUGAUUAUUAUAGUCCUUCAGACUUACCCUUGCCCGUCAUGUACCAAAGUUGAUGCAGUUUUCGCUAGCAAUACUUGAUCCUGUGAUAUGAGUGUCUUCUGUGUUAUGCCUGGGAUGUUACAGUUUGACAUGUACUAAAAAAUGCGGCGCUGAUAGUCCAGUUUGACAUGCACUCAAGUAUUUGUUUCUGGAAUGGUUCAUUUUAACAUUUAUGCCAUUUCUUGUGCCUGGUAUGGUCCAGCUUACACGUACUCACAUAUUAGUGUGUGAUGGUCAUGUUCA